AGAAAGCAACUAUAAGAAAAGUGGGGGUUAUAAAGGAAACAACAGACUUACCGAUGUUCUUCCCCACCUUUGGCGUCUGACUUGAGAGGAUCCAAAGAACUUAGUUGAUGACAUUUGGCUGGAACUAUCGAAUUCUUUAAUGAUGAUCACGCUGAGAUUCUGGAGUACGAGGUGAAGCUGAUGAUGAUCUCUGGUUUUCUACAUUAAUAUGAUCUGUUGCAGGAGGCCUGACAAUUGAGCUUGACCUUCUACUAUGCUGAACACCAAAAAGUAUACGGUGUCAGCAGUUUGUAAGAAAAUGCGAGGAGUAACUGACCAAAGUUGUAAUUUUAUGUAGUAUAUACAAUUCAGAUUUAUCAUAAUAGAAGUAAAUUAUGUAAUUUUGAAAUCCA